GAUGAACGCUGGCGGCGUGCCUAAUACAUGCAAGUCGAGCGAACAGACGAGGAGCUUGCUCCUCUGACGUUAGCGGCGGACGGGUGAGUAACACGUGGAUAACCUACCUAUAAGACUGGGAUAACUUCGGGAAACCGGAGCUAAUACCGGAUAAUAUAUUGAACCGCAUGGUUCAAUAGUGAAAGACGGUUUUGCUGUCACUUAUAGAUGGAUCCGCGCCGCAUUAGCUAGUUGGUAAGGUAACGGCUUACCAAGGCGACGAUGCGUAGCCGACCUGAGAGGGUGAUCGGCCACACUGGAACUGAGACACGGUCCAGACUCCUACGGGAGGCAGCAGUAGGGAAUCUUCCGCAAUGGGCGAAAGCCUGACGGAGCAACGCCGCGUGAGUGAUGAAGGUCUUCGGAUCGUAAAACUCUGUUAUUAGGGAAGAACAAAUGUGUAAGUAACUAUGCACAUCUUGACGGUACCUAAUCAGAAAGCCACGGCUAACUACGU
rnacentral:rRNA from 1 species